CUAACAUCCAGGGGCCUGACGGUACCGGGAGAAGAAGCACCGGCUAACUCUGUGCCAGCAGCCGCGGUAAUACAGAGGGGUGCAAGCGUUGUUCGGAAUUAUUGGGCGUAAAGCGCGUGUAGGCGGCUUGGCAAGUCAGAUGUGAAAGCCCAUGGCUUAACCAUGGAAGUGCGUCUGAAACUGCUGAGCUUGAGUGCCGGAGAGGAUGGCGGAAUUCCGCAAGUAGAGGUGAAAUUCGUAGAUAUGCGGAGGAACACCGGUGGCGAAGGCGGCCAUCUGGACGGCAACUGACGCUGAGACGCGAAAGCGUGGGGAGCAAACAGGAUUAGAUACCCUGGUAGUCCACGCUGUAAACGAUGAGAACUAGGUGUCGUGGGUGUUGACCCCCGCGGUGCCGUAGCUAACGCAUUAAGUUCUCCGCCUGGG
rnacentral:rRNA from 1 species